rnacentral:rRNA from 1 species
AGAGUUUGAUCCUGGCUCAGAUUGAACGCUGGCGGCGUGCCUAACACAUGCAAGUCGAGCGGUAACAGGUGUAGCAAUACAUGCUGACGAGCGGCGAACGGGUGAGUAAUGCUUCGGAAUCUACCCUAUGGUGGGGAAUAACCAGCCGAAAGGUUGGCUAAUACCGCAUACGUCCUACGGGAGAAAGCAGGGGAUCGUAAGACCUUGCGCCGAUGGAUGAGCCGAAGUCGGAUUAGCUAGUUGGUGAGGUAACGGCUCACCAAGGCGACGAUCCGUAGCUGGUCUGAGAGGACGACCAGCCACACUGGGACUGAGACACGGCCCAGACUCCUACGGGAGGCAGCAGUGGGGAAUAUUGGACAAUGGGGGCAACCCUGAUCCAACGACGCCGCGUGUGUGAAGAAGGCCUGCGGGUUGUAAAGCACUUUUAGUGGGGAUGA